rnacentral:rRNA from 1 species
UACGUAGGGGGCAAGCGUUGUCCGGAUUUAUUGGGCGUAAAGAGCGUGUAGGCGGUUUGGUAGGUCCGCUGUGAAAACUCGAGCUCAACCUCGAGACGCCGGUGGAAACCAUCAGACUAGAGUCCGGAAGAGGAGAGUGGAAUUCCUGGUGUAGCGGUGAAAUGCGCAGAUAUCAGGAAGAACACCCGUGGCUAAGGCGGCUCUCUAGUACGGUACUGACGCUGAGACGCGAAAGCGUGGGGAGCGAAUGGG